GACGAAACUACAGGCUUUGAAAGCGCUCCUUCCCAGGCUCACAGGCAGCAGACGUGACGAAGAAGGAAACAGUGGUUCUUCAAUACGUGCCUCCUGAGCCAUGGAGAUCCCUGUCCAGCCUAGGAGAGAGAGAAAAACAAAAAGGUUCACGAAAACAGUACACCAGACCCCAGAGCACCGAAGUCAGAACUGCUGACACAUCUCAACACGUGCAACUGAG